rnacentral:tRNA from 1 species
GCUUUCGUGGUGUAGUGGUCUGCACACCAGGUUGUGGUCCUGGCGGUGUCGGUUCGAUCCCGACCGGAAGCC